GACGUAGGGGGCCAGCGUUGUUCGGAAUUACUGGGCGUAAAGCGCGCGUAGGCGGACCUGCAAGUCGGGGGUGAAAGCCCGAGGCUCAACCUCGGAACUGCCUUCGAUACUGCGGGUCUCGAGUCCGGGAGAGGUGAGUGGAAUUCCUAGUGUAGAGGUGAAAUUCGUAGAUAUUAGGAAGAACACCAGUGGCGAAGGCGGCUCACUGGCCCGGUACUGACGCUGAGGCGCGAAAGCGUGGGAGCAAACAGG
rnacentral:rRNA from 1 species